rnacentral:rRNA from 1 species
GAUGAACGCUGGCGGCGUGCCUAAUACAUGCAAGUCGAACGCAUUUUCUUUCACCGUAGCUUGCUACACCGAAAGAAAAAGAGUGGCGUACCGGGGAGUAACACUUGGUUAACCUCCCCAUCAGCGGGGGAAAACACUUGGAAACAGCUGCUAAUAUCGCAUAAUUCCAUUUCCCGCAUGGUAGAUGGAUGAACGGCGCUCUUGCGUCACUGACCGAUGGACCCGCGGUGCAUUAGCAAGUUGGUGGGGUAACGGCCUACCAAGGCUGCGAUGCAUAGCCGGCCUGGGGGGGUGGUCGGCCAAUCGGGGACCGAGACACGGCCCAGACGCCUUCGGGGGGCAGCAGGAGGGAAUCUUCGGCAAUGGGCAAAAGUCUGGCCGUGCAACGCCGCGUGAGUGAAGAAGGUUGUCGGAUCCGAAAACCCUGUUGUUAGGGAAGAACAAGAAUCAGAGUGGAAGGUACAGUCCUUGACGGUAUCUAACCAGAAAGCCACGGCUAACUACGUG